rnacentral:rRNA from 1 species
CCCCUAGAUGUUCUGGGCCGCACGCGCGCUACACUGAACAGUUCAACAAGUCUUAACCUUGGCCGAUAGGUCUGGGUAAUCUUUGAACGCUGUUCGUGAUUGGGAUAGACCUUUGCAAUUAUGGGUCUUCAACGAGGAAUUCCUAGUAAACGCAAGUCAUCAGCUUGCAUUGAUUACGUCCCUGCCCUUUGUACACACCGCCCGUCGCACCUACCGAUUUCGAGUGGUUCGGUGAACCUUUCGGACCGGCAAUGCCUCGUGUUGCGCCGGAAAGUCAAGUAAACCAUAUCACUUAGAGGAAGGAGAAGUCGUAACA